rfam:Sorghum bicolor cultivar BTx623 chromosome 1, whole genome shotgun sequence.
UGGCUACAAAAUAACUUAUUUUGUAGCCACUUUGAGUUACGAUAAUUAUUAUGUUGAUUUAUGAGAUUAUAAUAACUUCUUACUAAGUGGUUUACUAUAAUUUUACGGUAAAUAUCCACAUGCAUUAUAGUAACCCAACUAUCGUAAACAUAUAUAGAUUUUAUCGUAAAUUAGUAUGUAAAAUUAUCGUAAAUGAAGGUGGCUAGAGAAUAACUUAUUUUGUAGCUG